CCUUAGAGUUUGAUCCUGGCUCAGAUUGAACGCUGGCGGCAGGCUUAACACAUGCAAGUCGAGCGGUAACAUUUCUAGCUUGCUAGAAGAUGACGAGCGGCGGACGGGUGAGUAAUGCUUGGGAACAUGCCUUGAGGUGGGGGACAACCAUUGGAAACGAUGGCUAAUACCGCAUAAUGUCUACGGACCAAAGGGGGCUUCGGCUCUCGCCUUUAGAUUGGCCCAAGUGGGAUUAGCUAGUUGGUAAGGUAACGGCUUACCAAGGCGACGAUCCCUAGCUGGUUUGAGAGGAUGAUCAGCCACACUGGAACUGAGACACGGUCCAGACUCCUACGGGAGGCAGCAGUGGGGAAUAUUGCACAAUGGGCGCAAAGCCCUGAUGC
rnacentral:rRNA from 1 species